UGCACACAGAAAGGGCACUUCCUCCUGUCCUGGGCAUCACACAGGAGUCACAGUGGGCAGGAUUGGCUGUGAUGGAUGGAUUGGUGGAUGUCAGCUAGUAUUGGGCGGGUUUGGUGUAGAAGGAGGGUCCAUGGUGAAGAACGAGAAUCAGGAGGAACCAGGUGUGUCUCGGGGAAGACCCUAUAGUUCACUGUGGCUCCACUUGCAGUGCUGGGUUCCCUGCCUGGGUUCUGCGGAGGGUGGAGAGAGGGAGACCGAGGUCCAGACCCUCUGAGGGCUUCCUGCCCAGGGAGGAGGAGCUGGAUACGCAGGACCAGUGGAGAGAGGCCAGUCGAGGACAGCACCAGGUGCAGAAGACCCAGACUGUGGAGCGAUGGGGAGAGUCUGGGAGGGAGACCUACUAUCCACCACCCUGAGUGGCACUGUCUAUUCUUUUCCAUUAUAGUUUAUUAUCAGAUAGUGAAUAUCGUUCCCUGUGCUCUCCAGUAGGUCCUUGUUGUUUAUCUCCUUUAUAUAUAGUAGUGUGUAUCUAUUAAUCCCCACCUCCUAAUUUAUCUGUCACCUCCCGUUCUCCUUUGGGAACCAUAAGUUUUCCAUAUUGGUGAGUCUCGUGCCCUAUUUUUGAUUUAAGUAGAACCUUAGCCUCUGUCUCUAAAAGGAAAUAAGCAGAGCUCGCCACAGAAAAGUUCUGGAGAUAGUAUGGGAUCCACCAGAGGGGGCAGAUCCGAGGCCACUUGCUGUGUGCAGGAGUUGUUGUGACCUGUGUGGGUCAGUCUUUGGCCAAGGGUGCCCCAAGUGCUCCUGGCUCUCUGUGUGCACACCAAGCAGGUCCCGCUAGCCUGAAGGCUGUCCUCUCUCAGAGAGAGGGGUGCGGGCCGGGGGAGAGAAGAUGUGUUUGACUGUGGUACGGAGUCUACACAGACCUCUGCCUGGGAUGCUUCUUCUCAGCCUCACAGAAGCUGGCAGGGUGGGCAGUUGGAGGAAUGGUCCCUCCUCCAUUUCUUAUAAGGAUGCCAGAAGCAGCAGUUUCUUUCUAACCGUCUGCCCUGAGGGCUGACAUGUAUGGCUUCCGGGCUCCUUGGUGGUCACACUGGCCCACCAGCCAUUCUGAUGCUUCCUGCUAUCUUUAUUUCCCACAUUUCUGCUGCUGAGAGUUUUAUGCUCUCAGAUCUUACCAGAAACAUUCACCAUAAUCACAGGAUGCCUAUGACUAUGCACAUAUCCUUCUUGGAUAUAGUUAACUCUUUGUUUCUGUUAUUGUUGGCCCUACUACUGUUGGUUCCUUGCAGAUUGAUAAGGUGUAGGGUGGGGGACAUUGAGAACAAUGGAGAACGUUAAGAUCUAAAGAGCUUCUUAGUCAUGUCAGGAAAGGACAACUCGUACCCUCACUGCCCAGCCCCGUCUGAAACACAGGUCAGCAUCUGAGCGCACGCACACCUGCCCCCUCCAUCCUUUCUGUGCCGUGCGCAUCCUCAUCCCCUCCAGCCCUGCGCCAGCCCUGCCUGUGGAAGCUCAGACCAUGGGGUGAGUGAAUUGUUUCAAACUAGCCAAUCACAGGCCGCUUUAGAGAUGAAUGAAACUGAUGUUUGCUGGGGGCUGCAAUUCAGCAAGAAGACCCUCCCAGUGAUAAACCACCAGUAAGGACCCCACUCUUCUGCUCUACUGAGCAUCUGGUGGCUGGAAUUGGGGUUGAGGCAAAGAAGCUAGGAUAACUUGUGGACUGAGAUGAGAGUUUAAACAUUAUGAUUCAAGAUAUCAAGAGAUCUAUCAUCAGAUCUAAUUUGAACUCUUGGUAGAAGGUGGAGCUCAACCUCCUGGUUUGAGGAGAGCCUGUUUGACCACACGGGUCACGUGCCACAGAGCCGGCCCCACCACACAAUGCAAAUCUCAUGUUACAGGCAGCAUGAGACAUAAGAGUCCACUGACCAGUGCUUUAAGAUCCCAGCUGACAAUCACCAGCCAGUGGUACUGAGCACCAUGAGCUGGGUACCUCAUGUAUCAUGGUACACAGGAAAUGGUUUUAUUUUCCCUCCUUUUUCAGAUUAUAGUUCUGAGGCACAUAGAGGUUAAGUAGCUUGUCUGUGUCACAAAGCAUGAAAGGAGUAGAGCUGAAAUUCAAACCAGGUCUGUGAGACACAAUACCCUGUCCUAUGGCCAGAGCAUCUCUUUGUAGAAAUACAAAGAUGUAUUAGAUUUCCAGGGCUGCCAUAACAAAGUGCCACAAAACUGAGUGGGUUACAGAAAUGUAUUGUCUCACAGUCUGGGAGGCUGGAAGUCUGAAGUCAAGGUGUGGGCAGGGGAGUUCCCACUGUGGCCCAGUGUGUUAAGGAUCCAACUGCAAUGGCUCGGGUCACUGAGGAGGCAUAGCAGAUUAAUGGAUCUGGCAUUGAUACAGUUAUGGUGUAGGUCUCCACUGUGGCUCCGAUUCAAUCCCUGGCCCAGGGACUCCCAUGUGCUGCAGGUGUGGUCUGAAAAAACAAACAAAAAACGGUGAGGGCAGGGCUGCUCUCCCUCUGAAGGUGCCAAGGACAGAACUGGUCCAGGCCCCUCUCCUACCUUUUGGUGGCUUUGGGCAUCCCUCAGCUUACAGACACCGGAUUCCCAUCUCAGCCUGUGUCCUCCCAUGGUGGCAUCUGGCAUCCUCCCUCCAUGUCAGCACAUGCCCUCCCUCUCCGCAUGUCUGUGUCCAAAUUUCCCUUUUAUAGGGAUCCUGGUCAUCCUGGAUUGGGGACCACCUAAUGACCUCACCUUGACUAAAUCUGCAUAGACCCUGUUUCCAAGUAAGGGCCUAUUCUGUGUGGAACUGGGGACCAGGACUCCCACAUAUCUUUGGGGGCAUAAUUCAGCCUGUAACAGGGUGCAAAGUUGAAAACUGAUGAAAUAUGCAGGAAGAGUGACCAAUGCGUAUGGACAGAAGUAGGGCAAGGCAUUCUGGGUAGGAAGUCGAGCCAGGCACUCUGGGUAGGAAAUAGAGGCAGGCACUUGGGUAGAAGCAGAACCAGGCAGUUGGUAGGAAGUAGAGCCAGGCACUCAGGUAGAGGCAGAACCAGGCAGUCGGUAGGAAGUCGAGCCAGGCAUUCUGGAUAGAAGUAGAACCAGGCACUCUGGGUAGGAAAUAGAGGCAGGCAUUCUGGGUAGGAAGUAGACCCAGGCCUUCCCUAGGUCCAAGUUCCUGGAGGAAUUGUUGGUCUCCUGCCCUCCUGUCUUGUUCUCAGGGCAGGGAGUUCCCUCCCAGAAGUGGAUGAAAGUUUAAAGAAGUGACAGGUGGAGUGGGUGGAUCUUGACUCUUGGUUUGGAGAUGUGCUGUCUGUUAAACCACAGACUGUGCUGUGCUGGUGUCAGUGCCAGUGUCCUUGGAGGGGUCAGGGUUAAGGAACCACAGCUUCUUCUGGCUGAGGCCAGAAGACCAUGCCAGGGAGAUGAGGAGUAGGACUUCCAAAUUCCUAAUAAUACAGUGAUGCAGAUCACAAUCCUUGUUAAAACUAGCAGCAUGCAGUGUGAUGCUAAAAAUAAAAUAAUCAAUAAAUUCUGUAAUAAUACAUAAAUAUAAAAUGUUUUAUACCUAAAACAAAAGGAAUAAAGUUAGCUUUGUAUAAAACUCAUGGCCGUGGCCUUGCUUUCCUCUUAACCAGCACUAUCUCCAUGACCUUGGAGGUUCCUCCGUGGAACCCUAGGGUUCUGUCCCCUGGAACCACUACCAUCAGACACGAGCAGGAUUUGGAGGCAUUUGCAGACUCCCCCCCCCAUUUUCUCAUAGAAAGUUGGCGAGGGCAGAGCUCAGGUUCCUAUCCUCGGCUUAUACCACGCAUCUGAAACCAGCUCCAGCAUCCCUUGUCCCUUCCUGCCUCUCGCAGCCAAACACAGAAGCAGGAGAGAGCCUUGGGAUUGCUCACGAGAGCGGGGUGACAACACCCAGCCCCCAGAGGACCCUCCCCCUGACUUGUGUUUCCAGAGGAGGUCAGACAGGAAUGUGGACCGGGCACAUUGUAUUGUUUUUGGAGCAGUGGGUGAUAAAGGCGAUAUUUUUACAGGAAGAGAAGAAGCAGGGAAAAGAUCAAGAGCCUGAGAUGGCAGAAGAUGGAGAGGAAUAUUUAGUCGGGAGAAGUGAUGAUUACCCCUGUCUUCUGCCACUGUGGCAUGUGAAGGAAUUCAAAGUAUCUGGAGAAAAGCUUUCCUAUGCUAGAAAAAGGGUGGAAGGGAAUGAAACCCUUGGCGUUCCUUCAAAGUGCUGUUGAGUGCAUCAGGCACUGAAUGGGUGGGGUACCCACGUUUGUGCUUCCCUGAGCCUUCGUGGCAGUCGUCCCAGUCCAUGCUAUCCUCACAUCUUCUGAGAAGAAUGAUAUACAUUCGACCCCCUAUCCACUGGGGGAUUCAACAAACUU
rnacentral:lncRNA from 1 species